rnacentral:lncRNA from 1 species
UUUCUGCAAUUGGACAUAUUCAAUUGUGAGGAUGUAGGGGAAUUGAGUUAGAGAUGUCCUCUAUAACCCUGUGAAGAUUAAUGUACACUGCUGAAUCUCUGACUACAGGAGUUCCCACUGGACAACAGGAUGGAAAAGAACAUUAAGCUGGAGUCAUCGAUAUGGGAGAACAAAUCCAUGUUUUGAAGCCUGUGUUUUGUCUGAUACUCUAAGGUGGAUAUGCAGAAGAUCAUUAUGUAUUCUUCACCACAGCCUUCUCAUCUCCUUUGUCUGGCUUCGUCUCCUGCAUGUUUCUAUCAACUGCUAUGUUUCACUAUUCUGCUUUGGAUCUGUGGUUGGAACUACAGGAAAGAAUCAGCAAGUGAUAUGUAAACAGGAUUACAUGAAAAAAAAUCAUCCUCUGAAUACUUGUGGGAACAUAAAGCUGCCUAUGUAAAUGCUAUAUAAAAGAGUUGUAGACAUGACCACAUGGAAGAUUCACUGAGAAUUCAAACAAAUGUCUACCAACACAACCAUGACAAAAUUUGACUGGCUUCCAGCCAAACUGAAGAUGACCAGGAACAUUGGAAGGGACAACACUGUUCCGGUGGAAAUAGCUGAACAGUAGGUAGAAUGAAGCAGAUCAGGAAGAAUAUUGAGAAGCAAAAUAAGUUGCAGCAAAAAGAGAGGAGGAAGAGACAUGGAAAGAUG